rnacentral:tRNA from 2 species
GGCAGGGUAGCUCAGUGGUAGAGCGGAGGUUUCAUAAGCCUUAGGUCGAGAGUUCGAUCCUCUCCCCUGCCA